UACGUAGGGUGCGAGCGUUGUCCGGAAUUAUUGGGCGUAAAGAGCUUGUAGGCGGUUUGUCGCGUCUGCUGUGAAAAUCCGGGGCUCAACCCCGGACUUGCAGUGGGUACGGGCAGACUAGAGUGUGGUAGGGGAGACUGGAAUUCCCGGUGUAGCGGUGAAAUGCGUAGAUAUCAGGAGGAACACCGAUGGCGAAGGCAGGUCUCUGGGCAUUAACUGACGCUGAGGAGCGAAAGCAUGGGGAGCGAACAGG
rnacentral:rRNA from 1 species